UGGCUCAGCGGUUAAGAGCACUGGAUGCUCAUCCAGAGGUCCUGAGUUCAAUUCCCAG
rnacentral:tRNA from 1 species